GACACUAUGUUUCUUGGUGUUGUCCCUUCCCCUGAUGCUGACCUCACUAGCAUGGCAUCACCUCAGAGCCACGACGCUGGCAAUUGUUCUAACCUCAUGGAGGAGACCAAGACUUUCUCAUCAACUGAGAGUCUGCGACAACUUUCUCAACA